UACGAAGGGGGCUAGCGUUGCUCGGAAUCACUGGGCGUAAAGGGUGCGUAGGCGGGUCUUUUAAGUCAGGGGGUGAAAUCCUGGAGCUCAACUCCAGAACUGCCUUUGAUACUGAAGAUCUUGAGUUCGGGAGAGGUGAGUGGAACUGCGAGUGUAGAGGUGAAAAUUCGUAGAUAUUCGCAAGAACACCAGUGGCGAAGGCGGCUCACUGGCCCGAUACUGACGCUGAGGCACGAAAGCGUGGGGAGCAAACAGG
rnacentral:rRNA from 1 species